rnacentral:lncRNA from 1 species
GAUUAGUAGAUGGAUUGAGCGGUUGGAUAUGACCGCGAGGAGAAGGAUAGCAAAGGAGGGAACUUUUGGACGCCGACACUGAUCGAUGGACUUUAAGUGUAUGACUAUUGGAAGAGACGUCGGUCAUCUUUUGAAGUAUAGCCUAGUAUAGAAAACUAUGGCAUUUUGAUGUACCGAUGAAUGAUGUCCAUCUGCUCUAUGUAAAU